rnacentral:rRNA from 1 species
CUACGGGAGGCAGCAGGCGAGAAAACUUUGCAAUGUGCGAAAGCACGACAAGGUUAAUCCGAGUGGUUUGUGCUAAACGAACCUUUUGACAGUCCUAGAAACACUGUUGAAUAAGGGGUGGGCAAGUUCUGGUGUCAGCCGCCGCGGUAAAACCAGCACCUCAAGUGGUCAGGAUGAUUAUUGGGCCUAAAGCAUCCGUAGCCGGCUCUGUAAGUUUUCGGUUAAAUCUGUACGCUCAACGUACAGGCUGCCGGGAAUACUGCAGAGCUAGGGAGUGGGAGAGGUAGACGGUACUCGGUAGGAAGGGGUAAAAUCCUUUGAUCUAUUGAUGACCACCUGUGGCGAAGGCGGUCUACCAGAACACGUCCGACGGUGAGGGAUGAAAGCUGGGGGAGCAAACCGGAUUAGAUACCCUCGUAGUC